rnacentral:rRNA from 1 species
UUCCGGUUGAUCCCGCCGGAGGGCAUUGCUAUUGGGGUUCGACUAAGGAAUGCUAGUCGACCGCCGCUCCUUCGGGAGCGGAGGGGCGAACGGCUCAGUAACACGUGGCUAACCUGCCCUCGCGUGGGAAAUAACCUCGGGAAACUGAGGCUAAUGUCCCAUAGGGGAGGAUGUCUGGAAUGACGCCUCCCUGAAAGCUCCGGCGCGCGAGGAUGGGGCUGCGGCCGAUUAGGUAGUAGGUGGUGUAACGGACCACCUAGCCGACGAUCGGUACGGGCCGUGGGAGCGGGAGCCCGGAGACGGGUACUGAGACAAGGACCUGGGCCCUAAGGGGCGCAGCAUUCGCGAAAACUCCGCAAUGCGCGAAAGCGUGACGGGGGAACCCCAAGUGCCAACACAACGUGUUGGCUUUUCUGGAGUGUAAACAGCUCCAGGAAUAAGGGCUGGGUAAGACCGGUGCCAGCCGCCGCGGUAACACCGGCAGCCCGAGUGAUGUCCGCGUUUAUUGGGCUUAAAGCGUCCGUAGCCGGCCUGUUAAGUCCCCGGUUAAAUCCGGCGGCUUAACCGUCGGAUAUCUGGGGAUACUGGCAGGCUUGAGGCCGGGAGAGGUCAGAGGUACUCCUGGGGUAGGGGUAAAAUCCGAUAAUCCCAGGGGGACCACCAGUGGCGAAGGCGUCUGACUGGAACGGGCCUGACGGUGAGGGACGAAACCCUGGGGAGCGAUCCGGAUUAGAUACCCGGGUAGUCCAGGGCGUAAACGAUGUGGGCUGGGUGUGGGCCAAUCGGAAGGAUUGGUCUGUGCCGAAGCGAAAGCGAUAAGCCCACCGCCUGGGGAGUACGGUCGCAAGGCUGAAA